CCCUGGUGGGUAUCAGAGGGUCAGUAGGUCGCCCCUGGUGGGUAUCAGAGGGUCAGCAGGUCGUCCCUGGUGGGUAUCAGAGGGUCAGUAGGUCGUCCCUGGUGGGUAUCAGAGGGUCAGUAGGUCGUCCCUGGUGGGUAUCAGAGGGUCAGUAGGUCGUCCCUGGUGGGUAUCAGAGGGUCAGUAGGUCGUCCCUGGUGGGUAUCAGAGGGUCAGUAGGUCUG